rnacentral:rRNA from 1 species
CCUACGGGUGGCUGCAGUGAGGAAUAUUGCGCAAUGGACGAAAGUCUGACGCAGCCAUGCCGCGUGCAGGAUGACGGCCCUACGGGUUGUAAACUGCUUUUAUAUAGGAAGAAACCCCUUUACGUGUAAAGGGCUGACGGUACUAUACGAAUAAGCACCGGCUAACUCCGUGCCAGCAGCCGCGGUAAUACGGAGGGUGCAAGCGUUAUCCGGAUUCAUUGGGUUUAAAGGGUGCGCAGGCGGUCUAUUAAGUCAGAGGUGAAAGUUUGCAGCUCAACUGUAAAAUUGCCUUUGAUACUGAUAGUCUUGAAUUGUAGUGAAGUGGUUAGAAUAUGUGGUGUAGCGGUGAAAUGCAUAGAUAUCACAUAGAAUACCGACUGCGAAGGCAGAUCACUAACUAUAUAUUGACGCUGAGGGACGAAAGCGUGGGGAGCGAACGG